CCCUUAGAUGUCCUGGGCCGCACGCGUGCUACACUGAGUAAUUCAAUGGGUAAGGGAACGCUAGAGCAUUACCUAAUCUUGAAAUUUGCUCGUGAUGGGGAUCGACGGUUGCAAUUUUCCGUCGUGAACGAGGAAUACCUUGUAGGCGCAUGUCAUCAUCAUGCGCCGAAUACGUCCCUGCCCUUUGUACACACCGCCCGUCGCUCCUACCGAUUGAGUGAUCCGGUGAGGCUCUGGGACCUGGACGGAAAGAGCGUUUCGCUUGUUCUGUUUGGGAAACUUGGUCGAACCUUAUCAUUUAGAGGAAGGAGAAGUCGUAACA
rnacentral:rRNA from 1 species